rnacentral:misc_RNA from 1 species
CGCAACUUGCGCUCUUUGGCAUUCCGAAGAGCAUGCUUGUUUGAGUGUCGCAAACCUCUCACGCCCCGCGUUUUAACGAGCGCGCGCGGCUGUGGAUCGUGGCCGUCGGCCGGCUCUUGUAGUCGGCCCGGCCGAAAUACAUGCGGAGCGCCUCUGCUGCCCGCGACGACCGAGCGUUGUAGACCCCUCGCUUGAUCGGCGUGAGCGCAGGCUCCCAACCCUAUCUAUUCGACCUCAAAUCAAGUAGGACUACCCGCUGAACUUAA